UACGAAGGGGGCUAGCGUUGCUCGGAAUCACUGGGCGUAAAGGGAGCGUAGGCGGGCUCUUAAGUUAGGUGUUUAAUCCCGGGGCCCAACCCCGGUCGUGCCACUAAACGUGGGAGUCUUGAAUAGUGGAGAGGUCAGGUGGAAUUGGGGGGUGUAGCGGGUGGAAUGCGUAGAGAUCCCCAAGAACACCAGUUGCGAAGGCGGC
rnacentral:rRNA from 1 species